CAAUAGCGUAUAUUAACGUUGUUGCAGUUAAAAAGCUCGUAGUUGGAUCUCUGGAGGGAGCGUCGGCCCGUAUUUACGAGUGCGUGACGUCUCUGUCCAUCCUUGCGGGAAGGCACGGCAUUGAUUUGUUGUGUCGGAUCGCAUCAUUUACUGUGAAAAAAUUAGAGUGUUCAAAGCAGGCUUUCGCUUGAAUACAUUAGCAUGGAAUAAUAAGAUAGGACUUUGGUGCUAUUUUGUUGGUUGAGCCUAAAGUAAUGAUUAAUAGGGAUAGUUGGGGGCACCUGUAUUGCGUUGUCAGAGGUGAAAUUCUUGGAUUUACGCAAGACAAACAGCUGCGAANGNGUCUGGNAAGGAUGUUUNCAUUA
rnacentral:rRNA from 1 species